AGGUUGCCAGGUUGAGGGUUCUAGGUUGCCAGGUUAAGGGUUCUAGGUUACCAGGUUGAGGGCUAUAGGUUGCCAGGUUGAGGUGACUAACAGGUUGAACAUUGUAUAUGGUGGAUUGUGUGAAUAGGAUGCGUUUCAUACAAGAUCUGGCAACUGGUCAACAUUAGACAAACAUAUUGGUCUGAUUAUUUAUGAAGGAGUUUGGGCCAUGCUGCAAAUUACGGGAGUUUCCUGGGAGAACUAACAAACCGAGAGGGGUCCAGGAGAUAGGGCU